rnacentral:rRNA from 1 species
GAUGAACGCUAGCGGCAGGCCUAAUACAUGCAAGUCGAACGGUGUCUUCGGACAUAGUGGCGCACGGGUGCGUAACACGUAUGCAACCUACCUUACAUUGGGGGAUAGCCUUUCGAAAGGGAGAUUAAUACCGCAUAAGACAGUAGCUGGGCAUCCAGCAGCUGUUAAAGAUUUAUCGAUGUAAGCUGGGCAUGCGUCCAAUUAGCUAGUUGGUGAGGUAACGGCUCACCAAGGCAAUGAUUGGUCGGGGAACUGAGAGGUCAAUCCCCCACACUGGCACUGAGAGACGGGCCAGACUCCUACGGGAGGCAGCAGUAGGGAAUAUUGGGCAAUGGACGCAAGUCUGACCCAGCCAUGCCGCGUGCAGGAUGAAGGCGUUAUGCGUUGUAAACUGCUUUUAUACAGGAAGAAACGACUCUUGCGAGAGGCAUUGACGGUACUGUAUGAAUAAGCACCGGCUAACUCCGUGCCAGCCGCCGCGGUAACAC